ensembl:lncRNA
AGAUGAGGGAGAGAUGGAGGAGAGAUGAGGGAGAGAUGGAGGUGAGAUGAGGGAGACAUAGAGGAGAGAUGAGCGAGAGAUGGAGGAGAGAUGAGGGAGAGAUGAGUGAGAGAUGGAUGUGAGAUGAGGGAGAGAUGGAGGUGAGAUGAGGGAGAGAUGAGGGAAAGAUGGAGGUGAGAUUAGGGAGAGAUGAGGGAGAGAUGGAGGAGAGAUGGAGGAGAGAUGGAGGAGAGAUGAGGAGAGAUGAGGGAGAGAUGGAGGAGAGAUCAGGGAGAGAUGGAG